AUGCAAGACUACUUCGUGGAGAAUCCAACAUAUCCACCGCACCUCUUUCGGAGAAGAUACCGAAUGCGCCGAUCCCUCUUUGUAAAAAUUGUUCAAGCUUGCGAGGCAAAUUGUCGGUAUUUUACUCAAAGAAGAAAUGUUGCGGGCUUAAAGGGAUUUAGUGCAUAUCAAAAAAUCUCCGCAGCUAUGCGGGUGAUUGCAUAUGGAUGA
rnacentral:rRNA from 1 species